AAAGUGUGAAUGGCACUUUAUCAAUAUCCAUUACCCACCUUGUGUGCAAUGUCGUGGGAGAGGACUUUGUGUUCUCUCUUUCAUACAUACACUCUUUCUUUCAGUAUCAGUCUACAAUCUAUUUGGAGUAAUAAAAACUCGAAAUA
rnacentral:misc_RNA from 1 species